CGAUCCAGCCAUGCCGCGUGAGUGAAGAAGGCCUUCGGGUUGUAAAGCUCUUCGGCCGGGAAGAAAUCGCAUGGGUCAAUACCCUGUGUGGAUGACGGUACCGGAAUAAGAAGCACCGGCUAACUACGUGCCAGCAGCCGCGGUAAUACGUAGGGUGCGAGCGUUAAUCGGAAUUACUGGGCGUAAAGCGUGCGCAGGCGGUUUGGUAAGUCAGAUGUGAAAUCCCCGGGCUCAACCUGGGGAACUGCAUUUGAGACUGCCAAGCUGGAGUUUGGCAGAGGGGGGUGGAAUUCCACGUGUAGCAGUGAAAUGCGUAGAGAUGUGGAGGAACACCGAUGGCGAAGGCAGCCCCCUGGGCCAAUACUGACGCUCAUGCACGAAAGCGUGGGGAGCAAACAGGAUUAGAUACCCUGGUAGUCCACGCCCUAAAACGAUGUCAACUAGGUGUUGGGAGGGUUAAACCUUUUAGUGCCGUAGCUAACGCGUGAAGUUGACCGCCUGGGGAGUACGGCCGCAAGGCUAAAAACUCAAAGGAAUUGACGGGGA
rnacentral:rRNA from 1 species